UACGAAGGGGGCUAGCGUUGCUCGGAAUCACUGGGCGUAAAGGGUGCGUAGGCGGGUCUUUAAGUCAGGGGUGAAAUCCUGGAGCUCAACUCCAGAACUGCCUUUGAUACUGAAGAUCUUGAGUUCGGGAGAGGUGAGUGGAACUGCGAGUGUAGAGGUGAAAUUCGUAGAUAUUCGCAAGAACACCAGUGGCGAAGGCGGCUCACUGGCCCUACUGACGCUG
rnacentral:rRNA from 1 species